CUAACCCUGCAUGGUGGCAGCCAUGCUUCCCAUCACUCUCCCAGGGACGGCCUGCUGCAAGGCGAGAUGAGAGACCCGGGUCAGUGACCCAGCGGAGCCACUGGCUUAGUCACCGCCUGAUCCGACCCCACCCUCAGGGCCUCAGUUUACCCAUUCAGAAAAUUACUGGGUAGGAUAGGAUGUAAACCUCCAUCUCUCACGCCUCCCCAUCCGUCCUAGCCACCAUCCCCUGAUUAAAGGAUCAGCCUCGCCUCCUUUGAUGAUUGCAACACAGGAUCCCGGAAUUGCAGCUAGGAAGAACUCCAGAGCUCCAGAUUAUGCUCCCUGGCAAACCCCAUCCCCAGGUCAUAAACGGGGAAACUGAGGUUCUCUGGAAUUAAGCAACUUGUGGGCAAGAAAGACAGAGCUCCUAUGUGCUGGUUUACUUCCUAAAUGCCCACAAAAGGCAAGGAACUCAACUCAAGCCUCCCACACGGAUUACAGGAACCAAACUACUUGAGCCAUCACCUGUGGGCUCCUGGGGUCUGCACUGGCAGGCAGCUGGAAUCAGAAGCUGGGAGUCGAACCUGUGGCACCCCGAUUUGUUACAUACCCUCUUCGCUGGGGACUUAACUUCUAGGCCAAACACUUGCCCCAGAAGGAACCCAGAGUAGAAAAAUCGUCUAAGGAAAUCUCAAAGGUUACGGGGCCGGAAAGUGACAUCGAGGUCAAGAAAUUCAGCAGCUUGAACUAUCGUCUUGGUGGAAGACUUGGAGCCGGCCAGUGUUCUGGCCUCAGUUCUCUUAUCUCUAAAAAUAAACCAGAUGAAUGGCACCCUUUCUAAAGUGCUUUUUAGCUCCAAAGCUCAUGAUUCCAACAUGAAAAAUGUGGAUAUUGUAAUAUUCAGUGGGGGAGCUCGUGCCACAACGUAGGAAAGUAAAAUUGCCAAAGGCAAGAGCUGAAGGAAAAAACACACAGUGCUGGUGUUAUUAGAUUGUUGCAUAUUU